UAAUAUGUUCGUUUAAAAUGUUCGUUUAAAAACAACGCCAUCUUCUCUUUAAUUGGGGUGACGUUUUACGUGGCGUUCCCUUCCUGAAGGGCCCUUCGUAGGGCACUACAUACCCCAACAAGCUGCUCGAGGACUGUACCAUCUGACAGGAGACUGAGGGGGAACAUGAUAACAUUCAGUCAGACAGCGCUGCUGUUUUCUGUGAUGUGAGGUAAAUCAAAGGUCUGCAAUGUCAACAUUCAUCUUUACAUGAUCUCUGCUGAAUUAAAAUCAUUCUGUCGGGUGAAGCGUUCGAGCAGCUCAGCAGCUCAUCUAAACACGCUCAGACUGUUGCCAAAGCCAAAUACCAGUUUCUGUUUGGAAAUCCAGAAGACACAAGCACAUCACACAACGCAGUCGUCUCUUGGUCGCCAGCACCGG